CAUUAGAUAACUUAAAGUAAGUACUGGUCUCUUAAAUCAUCUAAUAAUAAAUUAACGCAUAUUUCUAAUGA
rnacentral:tRNA from 1 species